ACUAGUUGCCUUGUGGGUGGGUUCCCUUCAACUUUAACAUGGGAAUGCUUUCUGUCUCAUCGAAGAGUAAGUGCUUCCAUGUUUUAGUAGAAGUGAAUUCAAGAAACUCUGGAAUAAGAA
rnacentral:precursor_RNA from 7 species